UCGAGAAUAUUUCGCAAUGGGCGAAAGCCUGACGAAGCGACGCCGUGUGAACGAAGAAGGCCUUCGGGUCGUAAAGUUCUGUCAACUAGGAGCAAACAGCAAGGAGAAAUACUUUUUGUUGUUGAGAGUACUAGUGGAGGAAGCACUGGCUAACUCCGUGCCAGCAGCUGCGGUAAUACGGAGGGUGCAAGCGUUAAUCGGAAUAACUGGGCAUAAAGGGUGCGUAGGCUGGUAUAAAAGAUAGGUGUGAAAUUACGUAGCUUAACUGCGUAGCUGCACUUAUGACUGUAUAUCUAGAGGAAUGGUGGGGAAAACGGAAUUCCACGUGUAGCGGUGAAAUGCGUAGAUAUGUGGAAGAACACCUGUGGCGAAAGCGGUUUUCUAACCUACUCCAGACGCUGAGGCACGAAAGCAAGGGGAUCAAACA
rnacentral:rRNA from 1 species